rnacentral:rRNA from 1 species
CCUACGGGAGGCAGCAGUAGGGAAUAUUGCUCAAUGGGGGAAACCCUGAAGCAGCAACGCCGCGUGGAGGAUGAAGGUUUUCGGAUUGUAAACUCCUGUUGUUAGAGAAGAGAAUGACGGUAUCUAACGAAUAAGCACCGGCUAACUCCGUGCCAGCAGCCGCGGUAAUACGGAGGGUGCAAGCGUUCCUCGGAAUCACUGGGCGUAAAGAGCGCGUAGGCGGGAUAGCACGUCAGAUGUGAAAUCCUAUGGCUUAACCAUAGAACGGCAUUUGAAACUGUUAUUCUAGAGUAUGGGAGUGGUAGGUGGAAUUCUUGGUGUAGUGGUCACCUCCGUAGUGCUCCAGCGG